GGCGGCAUAGCUCAGCUGGGAGAGCAGCAGACUGAAGCCUUUCUGAGGUAUUCUGAAGGUCCCGUGUUCGAGCCACGGUGCUGCCA